AAGUUAUCCAUAACCAAUUAUGGAGCAAUGAAGGACAGUGUUAAUGUAUGCUUGAGCAGUACAACUGAUGUUUGCCAACUGCCCUCACUUAAAGAUAUUCAGAUCUUCCAUUGCUCCUACUGUAUCAUUUGCACAGAGAAAGUAGAGGCUAGGGUUAUCCUGAAGUUUGCCUUGGAUAUCAUACCAGGAACUUGUUGUCAUGGACUAAGCAUUUAUCUGGCAAUGCUAUCCACUUUGGAAUCUGUUCACCCACCAACAUAUUUUGGCUAGCUAUAAAUAAAUAUAUAAAUACUCCUGGGACCCCUUUUAUCAACCUUCAGAUUGGAAGCUUAAUGCAAAUUUACUACCAGACAGUCUCACAUUCAGAUUCUACAGUUUAUAUUCUAACCUCCAGUUCCACCAUACAUUUAGGUCAUGUGAUAUAUGUAACAUUCAUUGUACUUAACUUGCAGAGUGUGCACUACUGUAUUUUACAUCAUUCUACAUUCACCAACACUAAUUAACAUGGAUAACGCCAUCAGAUUAUUUAUUUUAUUUUGUGCAUAUUUUGUGGGAGUACAUUAAAAUCAUUCUUUGAAUUUUUACAUUUCUUCACCAUCUGAGAUUUGAGGUAUCUUUUCCCUUUGUCGCUUCUUCAACCAGUGUUUCUUUUUUGUUUUCCAAAAAUCUACUGUUAUGUUCUCUUUUUUUGGAAGUACCUGACUUGUGUAUAUCUUCAUAUUUUGCUUCAAUUUAUCUUAUUUUGAUAUAUUCUAAAAUAUAUAGUUGUUUUGCAUGUUUUACUAAUAUAUCAGACAUUUUAAAAAUUGAGAUGGAGCGUUCCAUAUUAUAUACAGUAUAUGAGUUAUACAUUAUAUUAAAAAGUUAAUAAUGGGGGGGGGGGAUAUUACACUGCUUUUGAAAAUAAUACCAUAAUCUAAUGUAAAUAAAUAUACUAUGGAAAGAUAAUAUAUGUGUAUUUAUCUUUUUAUUUAUUAUUUUAUUUGUUGUCUAGUCUCAUCACAUUAUUUUUACUUUUUAUUUUGAAACAUAUGAGAGAGAGAGAGAGAGAGA
ensembl:lncRNA